UUAGCUGUUGGUUAUGGGCAGUUUCGUUUUCAAGAGCAGAAGAAAGGCUUGGCAUGCUGCUGGUCACUGAAAAACCCUAUGUGGCCAGAACGUAUCUACAACUGUAUUCAUGGGGUAACUGCAUUAGAUUUCUCUACAGCCAAUCCAAACCUCCUAGCAGUUGGACUGUUCAAUGGGACAAUAGAAGUUUAUAAUGUCCAGUCCCGAAAUCAAACUUCAGUUCUAGACAACAGCGAAUCCCACGAUAAACAUUUAGGGCCUGUUUGGCAGCUGAGAUGGGUGGAGCAAGACAGGGGAACAAGUGGAGAAGACAAAGGGGAGAUCCUCGUCUCCAUUUCAGCAGAUGGCAGGAUAACUAAAUGGUUUGUUCGGAAAG